GAUGAAGAACGUAGCGAAAUGCGAUACGUAAUGUGAAUUGCAGAAUUCAGUGAAUCAUCGAAUCUUUGAACGCAUAUUGCGCUCCCUGGUAUUCCGGAGAGCAUGCUUGUUUGAGUAUCAGUAAACACCUCAACUUCCAUAUCUUUUUUGAAAUGGGAGUUGGACUUGAGUGAUCCCAACGCUUUUCCUCACCGAAAAGUGGCGGGUUACUUGAAAUGCAGGUGCAGCUGGACUUUUCUCUGAGCUAUAAGCAUAUCUAUUUAGUCUGCCUAAAAAACAGAUUAUUACCUUUGCUGCAGCUAACAUAAAGGAGAUUAGUUCUUGUGCUGACUGAUGCAGGAUUCACAAAGACGGCUUCGGCCGACUUUGUAAACUCGAUCUCAAAUCAAGUAAGACUACCCGCUGAACUUAAGCAUAUCAAUAAGCGGAGGA
rnacentral:misc_RNA from 1 species